GUAGGGAGCGAGCGUUGUCCGGAAUUACUGGGUGUAAAGGGUGCGUAGGCGGCCUUGUGGGUCAGGCGUGAAAUACAUGGGCUUAACUCAUGGACUGCGCUUGAAACUAUAAGGCUUGAGUGAAGUAGAGGCAGGCGGAAUUCCCGGUGUAGCGGUGAAAUGCGUAGAGAUCGGGAGGAACACCAGUGGCGAAGGCGGUCUGCUGGGCUUUAACUGACGCUGAGGCACGAAAGCAUGGGUAGCAAACAGGAUUAGACACCCUGGUAGUCCACACUGUAAACGAUGAUUGCUAGGUGUGGGGGGUCUGACCCCUUCCGUGCCGGAGCUAACGCAAUAAGCAAUCCACCUGGGGAGU
rnacentral:rRNA from 1 species